UAACACAUGCAAGUCGAGCGCGAAAGCAGCAAUGCAAGUAGAGCGGCGCACGGGUGCGUAACACGUGGGUAAUCUGCCUCGAAGUUGAGGAUAACCAUUCGAAAGACUGGCUAAUACUCAAUAAGCUCACGAGACCUUCGGUUCUUGUGAGAAAAGGUGGCUCCUAUGGGCUACCUCUUCGAGAUGAGCCCGCGGCCCAUCAGUUAGUUGGCAGGGUAAUGGCCUACCAAGACUACGACGGGUAGCUGGUCUGAGAGGACGAUCAGCCACACUGGAACUGAGACACGGUCCAGACUCCUACGGGAGGCAGCAGUGGGGAAUUUUCCACAAUGGGCGAAAGCCUGAUGGAGCAACGCCGCGUGUGUGAUGAAGGUUUUCGGAUCGUAAAGCACUUUCGAUUGGGAAAAAUAUCCCUGACCUAAUACGUCAGGGCUUGAUGGUACCAAGAGAAGAAGCACCGGCUAACUCUGUGCCAGCAGCCGCGGUAAUACAGAGGGUGCAAGCGUUGUUCGGAAUUAUUGGGCGUAAAGCGCGCGUAGGCGGCUUUGCAAGUCAGAUGUGAAAUCCCUCGGCUUAACCGAGGAAGUGCGUUUGAAACUGCAGAGCUUGAGUACUAAAGAGGAUGGCGGAAUUCCAGAAGUAGAGGUGAAAUUCGUAGAUAUCUGGAGGAACNCCGGUGGCGAAGGCG
rnacentral:rRNA from 1 species